rnacentral:rRNA from 1 species
UACGGGGGGGUAAGCGUUGUUCGGAAUUACUGGGCGUAAAGGGCUCGUAGGUGGCCAACUAAGUCAGACGUGAAAUCCCUCGGCUUAACCGGGGAACUGCGUCUGAUACUGGAUGGCUUGAGUUCGGGAGAGGGAUGCGGAAUUCCAGGUGUAGCGGUGAAAUGCGUAGAUAUCUGGAGGAACACCGGUGGCGAAGGCGGCAUCCUGGACCGAUACUGACGCUGAGGAGCGAAAGCCAGGGGGAGCCAAAGCGGGG